CUACGGGGCGCAGCAGUGGGGAAUAUUGGACAAUGGGCGCAAGCCUGAUCCAGCAAUGCCGCGUGUGUGAAGAAGGCCCUCGGGUUGUAAAGCACUUUUGUUAGGGAGGAAAGUCUGGUAGCUAAUAACUGCUAGAUCUGACGUUACCUAAAGAAUCAGCACCGGCUAACUCUGUGCCAGCAGCCGCGGUAAUACAGAGGGUGCAAGCGUUAAUCGGAAUUACUGGGCGUAAAGGGUCCGUAGGCGGAUUAUUAAGUCGGAUGGGAAAUCCCCGGGCUCAACCUGGGAACGGCAUUCGAUACUGGUAGGCUGGAGUGUGGAAGAGGAGGGUGGAAUUCCUGGUGUAGCAGUGAAAUGCGUAGAGAUCAGGAGGAACAUCGAUGGCGAAGGCAGCUUUCUGGGGGAACACUGACGCUGAGAGGCGAAAGCGUGGGGAGCAAACAGGAUUAGAUACCCGUGUAGUC
rnacentral:rRNA from 1 species